rnacentral:rRNA from 1 species
UUGUCGUCAGCUCGUGUCGUGAGAUGUUGGUUAAGUCCGCAACGAGCGCAACCCCUAUUGUUAGUUGCCAUCAUUCAGUUGGGCACUCUAGCGAGACUGCCGGUAAUAAACCGGAGGAAGGUGGGGAUGACGUCAAAUCAUCAUGCCCCUUAUGACCUGGGCUACACACGUGCUAUAAUGGUUGGUACAACGAGUUGCGAGUCGGUGACGGCGAGCUAAUCUCUUAAAGCUAAUCUCAGUUCGGAUUGUAGACUGCAACUCGCCUACAUGAAGUCGGAAUCGCUAGUAAUCGCGGAUCAGCACGCCGCGGUGAAUACGUUCCCGGGCCUU